UACGUAGGGUGCAAGCGUUAAUCGGAAUUACUGGGCGUAAAGCGUGCGCAGGCGGUUAUGCAAGACAGAGGUGAAAUCCCCGGGCUCAACCUGGGAACUGCCUUUGUGACUGCAUAGCUAGAGUACGGUAGAGGGGGAUGGAAUUCCGCGUGUAGCAGUGAAAUGCGUAGAUAUGCGGAGGAACACCGAUGGCGAAGGCAAUCCCCUGGGCCUGUACUGACGCUCAUGCACGAAAGCGUGGGGAGCAAACAGG
rnacentral:rRNA from 1 species